rnacentral:rRNA from 1 species
CCUACGGGAGGCAGCAGUGUGGAAUAUUGGUCAAUGGGCGCGAGCCUGAACCAGCCAAGUCGCGUGAGGGAAGACGGUCCUAUGGAUUGUAAACCUCUUUUGUCGGGGAGCAAAAGACGCCACGCGUGGCGUUCCGAGAGUACCCGAAGAAAAAGCACCGGCUAACUCCGUACCAGCAGCCGCGGUAAUACGGAGGAUGCGAGCGUUAUCCGGAUUUAUGGGGUUUAAAGGGUGCGCAGGCGGAAGAUCAAGUCAGCGGUAAAAUUGAGAGGCUCAACCUCUUCGAGCCGUUGAAACUGGUUUUCUUGAGUGAGUGAGAGGAAUGCGGAAUGCGUGGUGUAGCGGUGAAAUGCAUAGAUAUCACGCAGAACUCCGAUUGCGAAGGCAGCAUACCGGCGCUCAACUGACGCUCAUGCACGAAAGUGUGGGUAUCGAACAGGAUUAGAUACCCGAGUAGUC